rnacentral:misc_RNA from 1 species
GAUGAAGAACGCAGCGAAAUGCGAUAAGUAAUGUGAAUUGCAGAAUUCAGUGAAUCAUCGAAUAUUUGAACGCACAUUGCGCCCCUUGGUAUUCCGGGGGGCAUGCCCGUUCGAGCGUCAUUAUCACCCCUCAAGCCCUCGGCUUGGUGUUGGACGGUUUGGUGGAGGCCCCCUCGGGGGCUCCUGCCCCUCCCAAAGACAAUGACGGCGGCCUCGUUGGACCCCCGGUACACUGAGUUCUUCACGGGACACGUAUCGGACACAUGGGUUUACGGGACACGGUCUGCCUCCCCUCAGGGAGAAUCUUUCUAAGGUUGACCUCGGAUCAGGUAGGGAUACCCGCUGAACUUAAGCAUAUCAAUAAGCGGAGGA